CCUACGGGCGACAGCAGUGGGGGAUAUUGCACAAUGGGGGGAACCCUGAUGCAGCGACGCCGCGUGGGUGAAGAAGCGCCUCGGCGCGUAAAGCCCUGUCAGCAGGGAAGAAAAUGACGGUACCUGAAGAAGAAGCCCCGGCUAACUACGUGCCAACAGCCGCGGUUAUACGGAGGGGGCAAGCGUUAUCCGGAUUUACUGGGUGUAAAGGGGGCGCAGGCGGCGAUGCAAGCCAGGAGUGAAAGCCCGGGGCCCAACCCCGGGACUGCUCUUGGAACUGCAUGGCUGGAGUGCAGGAGGGGCAGGCGGAAUUCCUGGUGUAGCGGUGAAAGGCGUAGAUAUCAGGAGGAACACCGGUGGCGAAGGCGGCCUGCUGGACUGCAACUGACGUUGAGGCCCGAAAGCGUGGGGAGCAAACAGGAUUAGAUACCCCAGUAGUC
rnacentral:rRNA from 1 species